CUGAUACUUACGACCAAAUCUAGAAAGAAAUCGAAGCAGUUGUUCUCUGUAGAAACUACGCCUAACCUUGUUCCUUCUACCAGCAGACAAGCCCAACACAUGCCUGCCAGUCCAAUGGUGGGUAGAAGUGUUUUGUUUGUUGUUUUGGUUGCCGUUUUUUUUUGGUUUUUCUGUGUGUGUGGGGGGGGGGAGGGGGGGAAUGUCAUGUUUCCGAAAGAAGUGUAGUAUUUUGGAGAGAAAAUGUUUUGUUUUCGUUUGAAAGGUGGUAUUUUGUGGGAGAUGAUGCUUAACUGCGGGGCGAAAAGUAGGAUCUGGGGGAGAAAAUCCACUUCUGGGUCGGAAAGAAUAGGACAUUUUCUCCCCCAAGUACCCCUUGUCUCACCGAAACAAGACUCUUUCUCCACUAAAUACCACUGCUCUCCACAAAACAUGACUUCUCGCCUGCCAAAUACAAAGCUGUUUGCUUUCCAAAAAGACGACGUUUCCUUCGCGCGCUCCCUUUUUUCUCCACAACAUGCAAAUUCUCUCUCCAAAACAGGACAGUUUCUGCCCCUAAUGCUACUUUUCUCCAGAACAUAGGGCCCUUCCUUCGCGCAUCAUGCCACAUUUCUCCUGAAAAUAUACAGCUCUUCCUUGCAAAAUACCACUUUUCUCCCAAAGACAUGACCAUUUUUCUUCCCACACCAUACCACUCUUCUCCAAAACUACGAUCUCUCCUCUCAAAAACGCCACUUUUCUCCCAAAAAUACGACCGUUUCUUCCCCUCAGGACCUCUUUUCUCCUCCAUAGAUGAGACUUUCUCGACCCAAAUCUCACUUUCGUCAAGAAAAGAAGGCAUUUUCCCGACCACAAAACCACUCUUCAC
ensembl:lncRNA